CGUAGUUAUACAGGUAUAAAUGUGCUUCUACUGGUAUAGUGUUUCCUCUACAAGCAAGGGAAUAAGCUAUACCAGUAUAAGGCACCUGUAUCCCAGGUUAACCGUGUUCAUACUAUGGAUUGUACUGUAAAACUAUAUUGGUUAAAAAAAGAACCACACUGGUACAAAAACUAUCUAGACCAGGCCUCAAGUACUUUGCUGACUCAGGGCCAUAUUGCUGGAGUGAUCUAGGCUAUUGCUUCCAUGGUUUCCUCAACUAAUUGUUCAGGAUUUAUUUUUCAGCAACCAUCCCACUUUAGGCCCUAAUCCUGCAACUGGAUCCAUGUAGAUGGAUCCUUCCCACUGAAAUCAAUAGGGGCCCUGCCUGGAGUGUGGGUCUAUUUGCAGGAUUGGGGGCAUAGGUAAGCUGCAGCAUGGUUCUUGAAGUUUACCUGAAAAGAAUCUGGGGGAAGGGGCAUUGGUUUGGUUUAAAUUUUUUCAUUUUUUUUUUUGUUUUUGUUUUUACAUUAGAAAUUCAGGUCUCGUCUGCCCUGUUUUUCUAGAAGACUCCAUGGAUGACCAGAGAACUAGAGAGAGAUGAUAUCCUGGUCACCAAGGAGAUGCAAAUUGAUUUACUGAGAAGGGAACUGAUUUUUAUUCAGAUGGUUUUAAAACUUCGCUUUUUGUAGACAGCUCUUUACUCAAAUGUCUAACGGACGACUCUCUUGGUUAAACAUUCCAUACCUCCAAGACCCAACCCUUCGAUGUAGGACAUGGAAAGCUCUCGAUACAUUUCUCUGCGGCUUCCAAAGAAAUUUCCAGGGGAACAAAAAUAAAAAAAAGAAAAUACUUAAUGUGCCUGAUAUUUGCAUGACUGCCCUUUGCGCUCCAGGAGAGAAGUCCUGGUCACAAUCAAGUCAAUAGCAAAACUCCCAUUGAUUACAAUAGGGUCAGGGCUUCAUCCCAGGUGCUUGGAUUCCAGCUGUCAUCUGCACACGUUUGCAAGUGGUAGAACAGUACUUUCCCCUUUCCAUCUGCCCACCUGCAUCCACUAGCUGGCUCUUCAUGACUAAUUCUGAGACUGUGUCUUCACUGCCAAAAAGAUGGGUUUUUAAGAGCAAGGUUGUUGCUAACACACAUUAGCUAUCUUGCUGUAAAAUCCUAGUGGAAACAAGGCGCAGACAGUUGUUACGGUGGGGUAGGUGAGUGAGGUCAACAUUAUGUUCCCCACCUGAAGGAUCUUGGCUAAGCUACAUCUCUGUAACAAUUACAGAGCAUAAGGCAUAGACAAGGUUAUGCCAUUCUGGCAAUGUACAUUUGCACUCACUUUUAGUGAGUUAUAGAGGGGUAAAGGACCAGAGGUUAAAUGAGAAUCAGGCCUGUUAUCUUGACUUGGGAAGUGCUAUAUUAAAAGAGGGAAGCUGAGGAAUUUCACUGUGGUUUAACAGCUGGUUAGGCACCAGUUAAUUACUUUGAACUGGCCAAAACUAAUGCCAGAUGCUGGAAUUUUUACCAACACUGACCCCACUUACGCAGCAGCCAUUGCUAUUCUAGCAACAGUUGGUUGGUCCAGUCUGUCUUGUGAACCAGCAAAGGUGCAAGAGAGGUAAGUGUUUUAUUAAUAAUAACCUGUAAGAGGCACAGUCAGCACCACUGGGCAUAGUCAGGGGGUUAAUUAAAGGCUGGACCAAUUGGUAUUGGAAACCUGGGAGCUACUUUCAAGUGGCUAAGACUGCAGUUUGCCUGUGAGAGGCAACUCAGUCAGAUCUGGCUAGGUACACAUUUUUCUGCCAUGUGCUGGCUAUUUUAGGUCUUAUUUUCAGGCACUAUAUACCCCAAGGACAGGGAUAGCUGAGCCCCAAGAGGGUUUGCUCCUGCAUCUCCAUCCCCUUUAAAAAUAAUAAUAGCUGUACUGGGUCAGACCAAUGGUCCAUCUAGCCCAGUAUCCUGUUUUCCGAAAGCGGCUGGGACCAGAUGCUUCAGAGAGAAUGAACAGAGCAGGGCAAUUUUCAGUGACCCAUUCUCUCGUCCACGCUCAAUUUCUGGCAGUCAGAUGCUUAGGGAUACCCAGAGCCACGAGCCAUUCCUACAUGACAGCACUAAAAAUGAUGUGACAUUUACUCUCUUCCUGUAGUUUUAUUAUUGUUAAAUGGCGUCUCUCUCUUUCUCUUCUGCUGCAGGAGAGCUACUUCCACAGGAUGUGCUGUCCCAGAAAAGGCAACGUCUGCCCUGAGCCACAGAUGGCCCAUCAGGCUGACGUGGUUUACACUGUGUGUCAUUUUUCAUCAACCACUUUUGACUUCCCCAACCCUAUGGAUCCAGGUGCCUAUGCUGCAGCUGAGUGAGCUGGAGGCAGCUUUUCAGUGUGAAACUGAUCUAGACUUGAAUACAUGACCUUCUGGAUUGUCGUAACGCACCUCAACCACUUUGCCACUGCACCUCAAGCUGGCCAAGAGGAAUCUCAAGUAGGAAUUAGAGAUGUUAUUUCACCUCUGUAUUUGGCUGUCCUGUGACUGCUGCUGCUGGAUACCGUGUUCAGAUCUGGUGUCCACAGUGCAAGAAGGAUAUUGAUAAACCGGAGCCAUGCGAAUGACUAAAGGAUCAGAAAACCUGCCUUACCAGUGAUAGACUCAAGGAGCUCAAGCUAUUUAGCUUAACAAAGAGAAGAUUAAAGAGAACUUGAUCACAGUCUGAAUUAUUCUGGGAAGUUCUCUGGCCUGGGUUAUACAGAAGGUCAGACCCGAUGAUCACUGUGGUCCCUUCUGGCUUGGAAUCUAUGAAAGGACGGACAGCAUAUGGCUCCCUGUCAGCUCAGUGGACUCGCUUUGACAUCUUCACUGUAGCCCUUCAUGCACAUGAGAAGCAGCGACAGCAGGGGUACCCAUCAAAUCCCAUCUCAAGCUCCACAGGAAGAGUUCACAAAACCUUUGGGCUGUUGAAUCAGCAAUGAAGACUGAGCAGCUGUGCAACAGCACUGUCCUGGAGACUCCAGCCUCACCCACAACUAGCUAACUACAGACUGGCUUCCCACCGGGGUUCACCCUUCAUUUUGUUCAAUCU